GAACGAACGUUAGCGGCGCGCCUAAGACAUGCAAGUCGAGCGAGAAAGGGCUUCGGCCCCGGUAAAGCGGCGCACGGGUGAGUAACACGUAGGUAAUCAACCCCUGAGUGGUGGACAACUCUCCGAAAGGAGAGCUAAUACAGCAUGACGUGACUACCUUCCGAGGUAGUUUCCAAAGCGGGCCUCUUCAUGAAAGCUCGCGCUCGGGGAUGAGCCUGCGGCCCAUCAGCUAGUUGGAGGGGUAAUGGCCCACCAAGGCUAAGACGGGUAGCUGGUCUGAGAGGAUGAACAGCCACACUGGAACUGAGACACGGUCCAGACUCCUACGGGAGGCAGCAGUCGGGAAUCUUCCGCAAUGGGCGCAAGCCUGACGGAGCGACGCCGCGUGAGCGAUGAAGGCCUUCGGGUUGUAAAGCUCUGUGGGGAGGGAAGAAUAAGUUCAAGUGAAUAGCUUGAAUGAUGACGGUACCUCCUUAGCAAGCACCGGCUAACUCUGUGCCAGCAGCCGCGGUAA
rnacentral:rRNA from 1 species